GUGGCUUCGGUCAGGACGGAAUACGUGUGUGGAGAGGAUAGCUUUGAGGGUGGUUGGGUGGAUAGCUUGUACUCCAAAUCCCUAAAUUCAUCCUUGAUAGUCAUAGAAUCCUUACAAACAACAUGUUCAUGAGGAAGGCAGGCCAGCCGGGUAAGAGUCAUCUCUUCUCCAGCUGCUCAGAAACAUGAAGAGACAUUCAUUUGAUAGAGAUGCUAUGGUGUUGCAAAGUCCUCAUAUUUUCGGAGAUGUUCAUGUCACUUUCCAAAGGCACAAUUAGGGACUAAACUAGAUAAACCUUGCUAUGAAUAGAGACAUUUGUGUCCUUCUAGAAGUAGGAUUUCCUUUUGACAAAAGAGACAUUCAUGAAAUUGCAAAUGAUGUGUGCUGCCUUGUAAACUAAUUCUUUGGGACCGAGCAAGGAGCACAAAAGCAGCUAUAAUAGUUAAAAUCAGGGUGGAUGAACUGAGAGAUGUCCUCUCAAGCAUAGUAGUGGGUGAAUCGAAGGAAGCUUAUUCUGAAUCUUGGACUGUCCCGGUGGUGAUAGUGCAAUAAGAAAUGCUUGCAGGAGGGCCACCUAAUGAAGAACCUAUCCAUGUGGAUGGUAACCCACAUCCUACGACGGACAACCCAAAUUUCCAUCAAAACCAACAUAACCAUUUCCUAGGACCAAUAAUGGAGCACCAAGCUCAAGAUGACAUGCAUAAGUAAUAAAAUCACCUAGAUCUCAACCAGGCUCAGGAUCCUCUAGAAGAUGGCAUGCGAAAUGAAGAAGAUGAGAUGUCGGGUUGGGGUCAUUGGGCAAUGCCAGUAGAGAAUGAUCUUAUUGAUUAAGAUAUAGUAGAGAAGGAAUUUCUCGAGUUGGCAAAUUUGAUUCAUCCUCUUGAUGUCCAUUUGCAGGUAGAUUUUCCAGAUAUGGAUGUUAAUAGUGAAAUAACUCUUUGUGUUGG
rnacentral:lncRNA from 1 species